AGAGCGAACGCUGGCGGCAGGCCUAAUACAUGCAAGUCGAACGGAUCCUUCGGGAUUAGUGGCGGACGGGUGAGUAACACGUGGGAACGUACCCUUUGGUUCGGAACAACUCAGGGAAACUUGAGCUAAUACCGAAUGUGCCCUUCGGGGAAAGAUUUAUCGCCAUUGGAGCGGCCCGCGUCUGAUUAGCUAGUUGGUAGGGUAAAGGCCUACCAAGGCUACGAUCAGUAGCUGGUCUGAGAGGAUGAUCAGCCACACUGGGACUGAGACACGGCCCAGACUCCUACGGGAGGCAGCAGUAGGGAAUCUUGCGCAAUGGGCGAAAGCCUGACGCAGCCAUGCCGCGUGAAUGAUGAAGGUCUUAGGAUUUGUAAAAUUCUUUCAGCGGGGACGAUAAUGACGGUACCCGCAGAAGAAGCCCCGGCUAACUUCGUGCCAGCAGCCGC
rnacentral:rRNA from 1 species